rnacentral:rRNA from 1 species
CUGGUUUCGCCCGAAGUGCGUGCGCCAACCGCAAGGAGGCAGCCAACCACGGUAGGGUCAGCGACUGGGGUGAAGUCGUAACAAGGUAGCCGUAGGUGAACCUGCAGAAGGAUCA